GGCCAUGUUGGUUAACAGAUCCUCAUCUGCUGGACGUCUGGCGAUGAUCUUUAUCGGUUGUCGUCAGUUGCCAGCACGUUUACUUUGAGAAAAUUAGAGUGCUAAAAGCAGGCUCACGCCUAUAUAUAUUGCAUGGAAUAAUGAAAUAAGAUCUCGAUUUUAUUUCGUUGGUUUUAGAAAUUGAGAUAAUGAUUAAUAGGAUCAGAGGGGGGCGUACGUACUGUGGUGUGAGAGGUGAAAUUCUUGGAUCGCCACAGGACGAACAGCAGCGAAGGCGUUCGCCAAGAAUGUUUUCAUUAAUCAAGAACGAAAGUUUGAGGUUCGAAGACGAUUAGAUACCGUCCUAGUUCAAACCAUAAACGUUGCUAACUGUCUUUUAGAUGCGGUUAUUUAUAUGACUCAUCUGGCGGAUCUCGAGAAAUCUAAGUUUUUAGGUUCCGGGGGAAGUAUGGUUGCAAAGCUGAAACUUAAAAGAAUUGACGGAAGGACACACAAGAAGUGGAGCCUGUGGCCUAAUUUGACUCAACACGGGAAACCUUACUCGGCCAGGACACCUUUAGGAUUGACAGAUUGAGAGCUCUUUCUUGAUUAGGUGGGUGGUGGUGCAUGGUCGUUCGUAGUUCGUGGAGCGAUUUGUCUGAUUAAUUUCGAUAACGAACGAGACUCCGGCUUACUAAAUAGUCUAAAGUUCGAAGGGACUUUUCAAGACUUCUUAGCAGGAUAAGUGG
rnacentral:rRNA from 1 species